UGUUGUCUUUUCCCUGUGUACUCUACUGUGUGUUAAAACUUUUUUUGCAGGGACCUAAGAACAACAUCAACCCUGUCAGAGUUUUCUCCAUCCUCCACUUCCCUCUCGUUUCUCUGUACACGCCUGCCUAUGCCUCUUCAUAUUUAAUUUCAGCUUUCCUGCUGCUGUUACCAAUAAACAUCUUGUAGAGUGCACAUGUGACCUUCCUGCAGUCCUGUGCCUGAGAGAUGGCCUCAUGUUUGGGCACAAGCUAGGAAACACAGCUAGCAUCAAUGAAGUGGUGACACAGAAUCUACCCAAAUUGCUGAUAAAUGCUUCAAGUAAACAAACUGGUACUACAGAGGUGCGUGUGAGAUACAAAAUCUGCACAGAUGGAUGGAUCUGUCAUUGCAGGCUACUAGGCAAUCUUUCCUUGGAGCUGCCAAAAGACUGAGGUGCAAAACUAAGUCAAGGCUUUAAACUGUAAUUCCGUGAAGAGACAACGGUUGAGUGACUGCAUCUAGUGUAAAGUGUGGCUACUAUAGCGAUGAGGCUGUAGAAAUACUUCCAUGGAUGAGUGGCCUAGAGAUGAGAACCGUGAAGCAAAUAAAGAGGUGGUUCCAAAUGUGGAAUCCUGUGUGUUAAACUGAAGCUGAGAAAGUAAUGAUUGAUUACCAGCUCUUCAUGAGUCUGAGUUGUCCUUCACCUUUAACAGAUCUGCAAGAGGAAAGAUUAAAGUGAAGCAGAACUACUGACUGGCUGCUCUAAGCAAGUAUACUCUUACCUCAUAAAAACUGUUGUUCUUUCCAAGUGUUGCUCAAGUUCAGUUCAUUUGAAGAACCACAGGUUGGAGUCACAGUGAUUGCGCGUUGGGGUGUUUUGUUCUUUUGUUCGUUUUUUGUAAAUCCAUUAUUACUCCACAAAAUUGUGCCCUGUUAAUCCAUGUUAAUAACUGAGCAAUCCAAACUGGUCAUAGAUGAGCCAUCACAAGUGUAGACAUGUUAGUGCGUUGUCCUAAGUGUUCUGAUAUGUUUCAUUUUGGAUUGGAUUAGUCUUACUGUUGUGAUUCUGAUUCAUGAUCAAUUUUGAUAUGUUUAGAGGCAAACAAGUGUAUUAAAAUAAGUUUCUGUUUCAGACAUUAAAAGUCUCGUCAGCGGUGCUGCCCAGCUAAGGCAGGCUAGU